GUGUGAUUUGAGGUGUGUGUGGUGAGGUGUGUGGUGUGAUUUGAGGGGUUAGGUGUGUGUGGUGUGAGUGUGUGUGUAUGGUGAGGUGUGUGUGUCUGGGGUGUGAUUUGAAGUGUGUGUGGUGUGAGGUGUAUGUGGUGUGAUUUGAUGUGUGUGUAUGUGGCGUGAGAUGUGUAUGGUGUGAUUUGAGGGGUGUGUGGUGUGACGUGUGUGGUGUGAUUUGAGGUGUGUGUGAUGAGGUGUGUGGUGUGAUUUGAGGGGUGAGGUGUGUGUGGUGUG
rnacentral:lncRNA from 10 species